AGUACGCGUGCGCCGCGUCGGUGUGCGUCAGGAAGCGGUUUCUUGGCGCCACAACGGGCGCCGCAACGGGCGGGAAGAUGGCGGAGCCGGUUACCAAGUCCGUGCUGUUUGUGUGUCUGGGUAACAUUUGUCGAUCACCCAUUGCAGAAGCAGUUUUCAGGAAACUUUUAGCUGAUCAAAACAUCUCAGAGAAUUGGAGGGUAGACAGCGCGGCGACUUCCGGGUAUGAGAUAGGGAACCCCCCUGACUACCGAGGGCAGAACUGCAUGAAGAGGCACGGCAUUCCCAUGAGCCACGUUGCCCGGCAGGUACCGUCCUUGGACUUGAAGUUGUGUGUUUUGUGUUUCAGUGGGUCAUUGACAGUGGUGCUGUUUCUGACUGGAACGUGGGCCGGUCCCCAGACCCAAGAGCUGUGAGCUGCCUAAGAAAUCAUGGCAUUCACACAGCCCAUAAAGCAAGACAGAUUACCAAAGAAGAUUUUGCCACAUUUGAUUAUAUACUAUGUAUGGAUGAAAGCAAUCUGAGAGAUCUGAAUAGAAAAAGUAAUCAAGUUAAAACCUGCAAAGCUAAAAUUGAACUACUUGGGAGCUAUGAUCCACAAAAACAACUUAUUAUUGAAGAUCCUUAUUAUGGGAAUGACUCUGACUUUGAGGCGGUGUACCAGCAGUGUGUCAGGUGCUGCAGAGCGUUCUUGGAGAAGGCUCACUGAGGCAGGUCCGUGCCCUGCUGCAGCCUGACUAGACUCCACCCUGAGGCCCUGCGUUUCCCAGUCAGUGUGUAAUAACGUCCCAGAGCCCAAAGCCCCAGCUCUUUGUUCAGUUGACUUACUGUUUCUUACCUUAAAAAAUAAUUCUAGGUGGAAAUCAGUUGUGAUUGGCAGAAGAAUAAAUAAAAACCUUUGACUUCAGACAGUUUAUGGGGUAUAUAAAGGAUUCUUAGACUAGUUGAACAUUUCACUUUGCCCCAAUUACAAAAAUAGUUGAAUAAACAACAUAAAAUACAAUGAAGGAAAACCCCACUUGAAGGUCCAGGUCAACAUCUAAGCCCACUGAGACCUAGAUCAUCGAGUCUACCUCCUCAGUAGGUGUGUGUGGAUGGCCCGAUGGAGGGCAGCUGCCCUCUGCUCCCCCGCGCUACCUCUCUCUUCCCCAGGGCCUUUUACGUAUUCACAGUAGCCCCUCCGUAGGAGCUCACAGUAUGGAUUAGAAGUGUUUUAAUUUAUACACACCCAUAGUGCAUACUUGUAUAUUGAAAAGAGAGAGAAGACAUAAAGAUUUAUGGAAUCUGUCAUUAGCACCUUUAAUACUUCUUGAUUUUGUCAAGCUUACUUCAUGAGUAGGUCAGCUCGUUUGCUCCCAUCUGAACCACUUUACCUCUGAAACUUAAUUCCAUCCAGAAAGACGGACACUUGUAUGCUAGUCUAUCUGUGGUCAGUUAGACUAGCUGAGGAAUAUGACGUUUAUAUGCACAUAUAACCCAAAUGUCCAAUAUACAUUGGCUUAUUUUUAAAAAUAAUUUUAAAAAUUGGGAAAAGUUUUAUCUGGCAUGCACAAAUACUGAUUGUUAAGUAUUCUUCAUCAGCAUUUAAUAAAUGUAUAGGCAGAUACAAGUUAUUUCUGUGUAUUUUGAGUUAAUGUCAAAAUCAUAUGAAUAUUUCAAAAUAAACAGGGGAGUUAUAAAAAUACAGCUAGAGAUAU